rnacentral:rRNA from 1 species
UACGUAGGGUGCAAGCGUUGUCCGGAAUUAUUGGGCGUAAAGGGCUCGUAGGCGGUCUGUUGCGUCAGGAGUGAAAACUCGGGGCUUAACCCCGAGCCUGCUUCUGAUACGGGCAGACUAGAGGUAUGCAGGGGAGAACGGAAUUCCUGGUGUAGCGGUGAAAUGCGCAGAUAUCAGGAAGAACACCCGUGGCGAAGGCGGCUCUCUGGGACGGUACUGACGCUGAGACGCGAAAGCGUGGGGAGCGAACAGG